GAUGAACGCUGGCGGCGUGCCUAAUACAUGCAAGUCGAGCGAACGGACGAGAAGCUUGCUUCUCUGAUGUUAGCGGCGGACGGGUGAGUAACACGUGGAUAACCUACCUAUAAGACUGGGAUAACUUCGGGAAACCGUAGCUAAUACCGGAUAAUAUUUUGAACCGCAUGGUUCAAAAGUGAAAGACGGUCUUGCUGUCACUUAUAGAUGGAUCCGCGCUGCAUUAGCUAGUUGGUAAGGUAACGGCUUACCAAGGCAACGAUGCAUAGCCGACCUGAGAGGGUGAUCGGCCACACUGGAACUGAGACACGGUCCAGACUCCUACGGGAGGCAGCAGUAGGGAAUCUUCCGCAAUGGGCGAAAGCCUGACGGAGCAACGCCGCGUGAGUGAUGAAGGUCUUCGGAUCGUAAAACUCUGUUAUUAGGGAAGAACAUAUGUGUAAGUAACUGUGCACAUCUUGACGGUACCUAAUCAGAAAGCCACGGCGAACUACGG
rnacentral:rRNA from 1 species